rnacentral:rRNA from 1 species
UACAGAGGUCUCAAGCGUUGUUCGGAUUCAUUGGGCGUAAAGGGUGCGUAGGCGGCGCGGUAAGUCGGGUGUGAAAUCUCGGAGCUUAACUCCGAAACUGCAUUCGAUACUGCCGUGCUUGAGGACUGGAGAGGAGACUGGAAUUUACGGUGUAGCGGUGAAAUGCGUAGAUAUCUGGAGGAACACCGGUGGCGAAGGCGGCAUUCUGGACCGAUAUUGACGCUGAGGAGCGAAAGCCAGGGGAGCAAACGGG